AUUGAACGCUGGCGGCAUGCCUUACACAUGCAAGUCGAACGGCAGCACGGGGGCAACCCUGGUGGCGAGUGGCGAACGGGUGAGUAAUACAUCGGAACGUGCCCAGUAGUGGGGGAUAGCCCGGCGAAAGCCGGAUUAAUACCGCAUACGACCUACGGGUGAAAGUGGGGGAUCGCAAGACCUCGCGCUAUCGGAGCGGCCGAUGUCAGAUUAGGUUGUUGGUGGGGUGAUGGCCUACCAAGGCGACGACGGGUAGCCGGCCUGAGAGGGCGACCGGCCACACUGGGACUGAGACACGGCCCAGACUCCUACGGGAGGCAGCAGUGGGGAAUCUUGCGCAAUGGGCGAAAGCCUGACGCAGCGACGCCGCGUGAGGGAUGACGG
rnacentral:rRNA from 1 species